rnacentral:rRNA from 1 species
CCUACGGGAGGCAGCAGUGGGGAAUAUUGCACAAUGGGGGAAACCCUGAUGCAGCGACGCCGCGUGAGUGAAGAAGUAAUUCGUUAUGUAAAGCUCUAUCAGCAGGGAAGAAAAUGACGGUACCUGAGUAAGAAGCCCCGGCUAACUACGUGCCAGCAGCCGCGGUAAUACGUAGGGGGCAAGCGUUAUCCGGAUUUACUGGGUGGAAAGGGAGCGUAGACGGCAGUGCAAGUCUGGAGUGAAAGGCGGGGGCUCAACCCCCGGACUGCUCUGGAAACUGUACGGCUGGAGUGCAGGAGAGGUAAGUGGAAUUCCUAGUGUAGCGGUGAAAUCCGUAGAUAUUAGGAGGAACACCAGUGGCGAAGGCGGCUUACUGGACUGUAACUGACGUUGAGGCUCGAAAGCGUGGGGAGCAAACAGGAUUAGAUACCCUUGUAGUC